ACGCUCGACACCUACUGGAGGCAGCAGUGAGGAAUAUUGGUCAAUGGGCGCAGGCCUGAACCAGCCAAGUAGCGUGAAGGAUGACUGCCCUAUGGGUUGUAAACUUCUUUUAUAUCGGGAAUAAAGUUUUCCACGUGUGGAAUUUUGUAUGUACCAUAUGAAUAAGGAUCGGCUAACUCCGUGUCAGCAGCCGCGGUAAUCUGAGCGGGCUGGCAAGGC
rnacentral:rRNA from 1 species